UUAUUAUUAUUUUUUUCUUUUAUGUUUUCAUAUUCAAACAAAAGAAGAAAGAAUAAGGCAAAAGAAGGAAUUAUUACAUAAAAUCCAUUAAACCACCUUUGAAAUAAAUAUUACAAAAUUUUUAUAAGAUGAGGUUUUAUGUACAAGUUGAUGCAAAACAAUAACCAAGCCUUAAUCCCAAACAAGUUGAUGAAAAAAAAAAAAACUAUCAAAAUCUCCCAAAUUGCAUUUUCUUCUUCUUAUUCUCUCUCACCCUUCCUCUUCCUCUUAGUUUAAAAGCAUGGUUGAGGCUGAGAAAAUCUAAAAUCCAGGCAAAACUGAGAGGUCUGCUAUACCUCUUGGCAGAUCAGAAAUUUUCUUCAGCAAAGCAAGCCUGUUCUGUCUAAUUCUUUCAUCCUCCUGAUGCAAAGAUGGAAUGGAUCAAUUGAUUACCAACAAAUAAAGCUGUUAAAAAUUAAAAUGAAAUAAUGCAAUUGAUCAUGUAAGAAAAACCAUGAAUAAAUAAUAAUCUCUCACAGCACCUUGCAUGGGUAAACUAAUACCCUGUCCUUUAUCCAGCACUCAAGUAUUUACAACUCUAUUAGCAAGAGCACUCAACAAACUUGCAGAACCAACAUUCAUAGACUCCUCAACCUCAAAAUAAUAAUUAUCAAUGAUUCAUUGUUAAUAGUCACUUGCAGCGGUAAAAAACCUACUUAAAACGCACCUUUAUUUGUCAGGGACCAAUUUAACAUAUUUUCUUACUUUAUCAUUAAUGUACCAACUCAACUUAUAAUUAUUAUUGUCAUAUUUUUUUGGCUGAGGAAAUUGCAACCGUAACAGGAUCAGUUCUAGUUCCUUUCCUAGAGCUGAUAGCUAUAAGGUGUUGGGGAAUUUACCAACUUUGCAUUAUGCAAGUCAAUAAGAAUCCAAA
rnacentral:misc_RNA from 1 species